CUGUGUCUUGCAAAUAUGGCUUGUUCCUGUGGUUUUGAAUCUACUUGCCCUGCUUCUUUAACCAAAGUCAAGCGUGGCAUAAUGAUAUAUUCUCUCACUGCAACAUGAAAUCACUGAUAAUGAGAUUGAUUACUCUCUAUGGAGCCAAUCUUCCUGACUAUGAAGAUCUGGAGAGAUGUAUCUGAACUUGAUUCGCUCCUGAUAAAAUUUGUUAUAACUAUUGAGAGGCCACAAUAAUAAUAAAGAUAAGGAUGUCAAAUACUUUUAA